GAAUCAUAAUCUAGCAUCAAAAUCAGUGCAGCAACAUCAGGUGGGUUUGGAUUUUGAGUUUUAAAUUCGAAAUAAAUAGGCUUAAAUUAGGGCUUUUUGAUUUUGAAGUUGUUUGUGUGAUUUGAUGAUUGUAUGUGGUAGAUAAUCUUAUCCUGAUCAUUUUGGUAUAUCAUAUGCUUGAUUUGGAGUUCAAUAACAUAGUUAAUUUUGAGGUUAAAUUUCGAAUUGAACAAUUAGGGUUUAUGAACGUUUGAAUGUUCUAAAUUGAAAUUUGGGCGUUUGUAAUCUAGGAAGCUAGGGGAUGUGUGGUUAGUACCAUUAGAAAGAGCACGAAGAGAGGAAGCUGUAGGUGGUGGUCGUGUGGCUGUGUGACCCCGGAAUCGAUCUCGCCGGAGUUUUGAAGCUCGACGGCGGCGUCGAUUUUCCGGCGUUUAUUCCGGCCAAACGGCUCAACCGUUGGUAAGUCUGAAAGUACCAAUGGAUUCCUGGGAGUAAAUACAAUAGAUCUGCACCUUUCGAAGGUGUUCUGGGCGGCGUGGUGUAAAUCCGGCAGAACGCCGGCGAAGUGCGACCGGAGGUGGUGACCGGAGGGUCAAACUACGGUUUGACCCCCCAACUUUCAGAGAAGAUGCAAUUACUUCCCCAGGUUUUAAUUUUUGCAAUUAAGUCACCCUGAAGGUUUUCAAACUUACGAUUUAAACCUUAAACUCUCAAAAUCUUUCAAAAGUUUUAUUGAUUUAAUUUUUAUUUCGAAAAUUAAGUAUUUUAAUUUCAAAAAUUGUUUUUAAUUAUUUAUUAAUUUAAAAAUAAAUCUGAUUUAAUUUAUUAAUUAAUUUUAAUUAGUAAUUAAUUAUAAUAAUUAGUCAAUUAAUUUAAUUAUUAAUUGAUUAAUUGUUUUAAUUAAUUAUUAAUUGAUUUUAAUUGAUUUAUUAAUUAGAUUUAAUUAUUUUAAAUAAUUUUAAAUGAUUUUAAAAUUCCGAAAAAUAGUUUCGAGCUUUAAAAUAUUAUUUUAAAAUAUGAUUGAAGCUCGUUAAUUGAUUUCAAAUGAGUUCGGACUUGAUUUCGGGUAUUCAAAAUUGAUUAUUUAUUUAUAAAAUGAUUCUUUGACCAGUUUUAAUUCUGAAAAAUGAUUAAAAAUUCAUAAUAAAUACCAGAAAAAUCCGUUUGACUUCAAACUUCUUUUGAAAAAUAUAUUUUAUUAAAUAUUUUAUGUGAUAUGUGCUAUAUGCUAUCUGAUUGACAUGUUAUGUGUCUACGUGAUUGAUAUAACAUUGUUUUUGACAUAUCUUUUGAUCCGUAAAUCGGAUUUGGGUGAAACGAAGGGUAGAUAGAAGCUCGUUUUGAAUGUAAGAUGAUGAGAAUAAUAUGAGAUCACAUAUUGAUAAUUAGUUGUGAUGAUUAGCAGAGAAGCGAGGCGUAAUAAAGGGGGAAAAGCAAGUGGAUAUAGAAUAGUAUAUCGAGCAGGAGUGAUUGAGAUGUGAAAUCGUCAGUAUAAGGCAAGUUUCCUUGAUACUUUCCUUCAAUUAUAUAGAUAUGAUCCUUAAUGUGAUUGCUUGGUGAGCUUUCUAAUUCACUUCUGACAUUGAUCGAGCCAUAUUAUGAAUUGUUUGACUCAUUGAUUCUUGAUCCAUCAACCAGAUUCCUUAACUACCACUUGAACUAUUCAUUCAUUGAUACUUGAACCCUUAAUUGGAUUCUUUGAUACCUAUUUUGAAACCUUAUUCAAUUGUAAACCUUCAAACUUCGAGAUUUUUGAAUAAAUACCAUAUAAACCCCAUUCCAAUGUUUUGGCACACCCUUGAUAUCUCAACCAAUUGACUGGAAUUCAAUUUUAUCUGGAAUACCAUACACCUUACAAUUUUUAUUCCUUUUUAGUAACCUAAUUUUCUUGGAUUUGAAACCACCUUUUGACAUGUGAAUACUUUAAUGAAACCAAAAUCCUUCUUUCAUACAAACCAUGACUACUGUUUCAUUUGAAAUCCAGAUAUGCCACAUCUGAUCCUUUGACUCAUGAAAUUAUUUUGAUCAUUAUGCCAGAAUAUCUUUAAAGAUGCUUAUGAAUUGAAUUCUGUUCUAUUUCAAAGUUUAAUUAUGUUCUUAAUGAUUCUGUUUAUUGCAUUAUAUUGUUAUUCAUCCUGAUUCAUAAUAGAAUUGGAUAGUUUUUCUUAAAUGGACCAAAUGAAUGGUCAGACCAGAUGAGUGGUCGCUUUAGGCCAAUGUGUGCCUUGGAUCCAGUAAACGAGCAUGGCGGGGCCUGCUCGGGGUUAGUGUCUGACUGAUCAGCAGCCUAACCUUUGGUUUUUAAAAAUAAAAUUUAAUAUCCAAUUCUAAUUGAAAUUCUAAAAAGAAACUUUGAUAUUGAGAUUGAUUCUCUUAAAUACUGAUUUCCAUCACCUUUUGAUAAAUGUUUACAUGGAUAUUGUUAUACUUGCUGAGCUUGUUAGCUCACUCUUGCGAAACUCUAUGUUCUUUCCAGUGAAAGCAGAGAAGGUUGGUAGCGAUGACCCUCAGGCUAGUGGUAAGGCCAGGAUUCCAGGCUGAGCGAUGGAGAGCGCUAUCAGCAGCACUUGGUUUUUAUAUAUGUACUGUUUGAGUUUCGAGAUGCGAACAUUAUGUAAGCUUGUAAGAAUUGAAUUUAUAUUUGGGAUUUGGGUUUGUAAUAAAUAAAGUUAUGCGGUGGCUUGUUUUAUACUUUAACCUGUUGCGAUCCAUGGACAGUUAAGGGUCACUGCAUAUAUUAUUUUAUUAAAUACAGGUUAUAUUAUGGUGUGGACCCCAAACUUCUGACCCGGGUUUGGAGGGCGCCAC
rnacentral:lncRNA from 1 species